GUUACGAUAUGAUGCGAGGUUAAGUUGAAGAGACGGAGCCGUAGGGAAACCGAGUCUUAAUAGGGCGUCAUAGUAUCAUGUUGUAGACCCGAAACCAUGUGACCUACCCAUGAGCAGGUUGAAGGUGAGGUAAAACUCACUGGAGGACCGAACCAGGGCACGUUGAAAAGUGCUUGGAUGACUUGUGGGUAGCGGAGAAAUUCCAAACGAACUUGGAGAUAGCUGGUUCUCUCCGAAAUAGCUUUAGGGCUAGCGUCGAUGUUAAGUCUCUUGGAGGUAGAGCACUGUUUGGGUGAGGGGUCCAUCCCGGAUUACCAAUCUCAGAUAAACUCCGAAUGCCAACGAGAUAUAAUCGGCAGUCAGACUGCGAGUGCUAAGAUCCGUAGUCGAAAGGGAAACAGCCCAGACCACCAGCUAAGGUCCCAAAAUAUAUGUUAAGUGGAAAAGGAUGUGGGGUUGCACAGACAACUAGGAUGUUAGCUUAGAAGCAGCUAUUCAUUCAAAGAGUGCGUAAUAGCUCACUAGUCGAGUGACCCUGCGCCGAAAAUGUACCGGGGCUAAAACAUAUUACCGAAGCUGUGGAUGACACAAAAGUGUCAUGGUAGGAGAGCGUUCUAUGUGUGAAGAAGGUGUACCGUGAGGAGCGCUGGAACGCAUAGAAGUGAGAAUGCCGGUAUGAGUAGCGCAAGACAGGUGAGAAUCCUGUCCACCGUAAGACUAAGGUUUCCAGGGGAAGGCUCGUCCGCCCUGGGUUAGUCGGGACCUAAGGAGAGACCGAAAGGUGUAUCCGAUGGACAACAGGUUGAUAUUCCUGUACUAGAGUAUAUAGUGAUGGAGGGACGCAGUAGGCUAACUAAACCAGACGAUUGGAAGUGUCUGGUCAAACAGUGAGGUGUGAUAUGAGUCAAAUGCUUAUAUCUUUAACAUUGAGCUGUGACGAGGAGCGAAGUUUAGUAGCGAAGUUAGUGAUGUCACACUGCCAAGAAAAGCUUCUAGCGAUACAUAUACUCUACCCGUACCGCAAACCGACACAGGUAGUCGAGGCGAGUAGCCUCAGGUGAGCGAGAGAACUCUCGUUAAGGAACUCGGCAAAAUGGCCCCGUAACUUCGGGAGAAGGGGCGCUGAUUUUAGAUCAGCCGCAGUGAAUAGGCCCAAGCAACUGUUUAUCAAAAACACAGCUCUCUGCUAAAUCGUAAGAUGAUGUAUAGGGGGUGACGCCUGCCCGGUGCUGGAAGGUUAAGAGGAGUGCUUAGCGUAAGCGAAGGUAUGAAUUGAAGCCCCAGUAAACGGCGGCCGUAACUAUAACGGUCCUAAGGUAGCGAAAUUCCUUGUCGGGUAAGUUCCGACCCGCACGAAAGGCGUAAUGAUUUGGGCACUGUCUCAACGAGAGACUCGGUGAAAUUUUAGUACCUGUGAAGAUGCAGGUUACCCGCGACAGGACGGAAAGACCCCAUGGAGCUUUACUGCAGUUUGAUAUUGAGUAUCUGUACCACAUGUACAGGAUAGGUAGGAGCCUAUGAUAACGGGACGCCAGUUUCGUUUGAGGCGUUGUUGGGAUACUACCCUUGUGUUAUGGCUACUCUAACCCAGAUAGGCAAUCCCUAUCGGAGACAGUGUCUGACGGGCAGUUUGACUGGGGCGGUCGCCUCCUAAAAGGUAACGGAGGCGCCCAAAGGUUCCCUCAGACUGGUUGGAAAUCAGUCGUAGAGUGUAAAGGUAUAAGGGAGCUUGACUGCGAGAGCUACAACUCGAGCAGGGACGAAAGUCGGGCUUAGUGAUCCGGUGGUUCCGUAUGGAAGGGCCAUCGCUCAACGGAUAAAAGCUACCCUGGGGAUAACAGGCUUAUCUCCCCCAAGAGUUCACAUCGACGGGGAGGUUUGGCACCUCGAUGUCGGCUCGUCGCAUCCUGGGGCUGUAGUCGGUCCCAAGGGUUGGGCUGUUCGCCCAUUAAAGCGGCACGCGAGCUGGGUUCAGAACGUCGUGAGACAGUUCGGUCCCUAUCCGUCGCGGGCGUAGGAAAUUUGAGAGGAUCUGCUCCUAGUACGAGAGGACCAGAGUGGACUUACCGCUGGUGUACCAGUUGUCUUGCCAAAGGCAUCGCUGGGUAGCUAUGUAGGGAAGGGAUAAGCGCUGAAAGCAUCUAAGUGCGAAGCCCACCUCAAGAUGAGAUUUCCCAUGAUUUUAUAUCAGUAAGAGCCCUGAGAGAUGAUCAGGUAGAUAGGUUAGGAGUGUAAUUGUGGUGACACAUUUAGCGGACUAAUACUAAUAGCUCGAGGACUUAUCCAAAA
rnacentral:rRNA from 1 species